UACGUAGGUGGCAAGCGUUGUCCGGAAUUAUUAGGCGUAAAGCGCGCGCAGGUGGUUUCUUAAGUCUGAUGUGAAAGCCCACGGCUCAACCGUGGAGGGUCAUUGGAAACUGGGAGACUUGAGUGCAGAAGAGGAAAGUGGAAUUCCAUGUGUAGCGGUGAAAUGCGUAGAGAUAUGGAGGAACACCAGUGGCGAAGGCGACUUUCUGGUCUGUAACUGACACUGAGGCGCGAAAGCGUGGGGAGCAAACAGG
rnacentral:rRNA from 1 species